CUUAUCAAGAGAGAUUGAGGGAUUUGGCCCGAUGACGUCUCAGCAACCAGCUAUUUGCUAGUAUGGUGCUAAAUCCAAUAGGCGAAUGCCUUAAAGAUGAGU
rnacentral:ncRNA from 1 species